rnacentral:rRNA from 1 species
GACAUAGGUGGCGAACGUUGUCCGGAAUUAUUGGGCGUAAAGAGCUCGUAGGCGGUCUGUCGCGUCGGCUGUGAAAUCCCGAGGCUCAACCUCGGGUCUGCAGUCGAUACGGGCAAACUAGAGUAUUGCAGGGGAGACUGGAAUUCCUGGUGUAGCGGUGAAAUGCGCAGAUAUCAGGAGGAACACCGGUGGCGAAGGCGGGUCUCUGGGCCGGUACUGACGCUGAGGAGCGAAAGCGUGGGUAGCAAACAGG